AAUCAACGCUGGCGGCGUGCCUAACACAUGCAAGUCGAACGAGAAAGUGGAGCAAUCCAUGAGUAAAGUGGCGACCGGGUGAGUAACACGUGACUAACCUGCCCUACAGUGGGGAAUAACCUUCCGAAGGAGGGCUAAUACCGCAUAACGUCUAAUGGCUGAGAUGCCGAUAGACCAAAGGAAGCAAUUCGCUGGAGGGA
rnacentral:rRNA from 1 species